UACGUAGGGGGCAAGCGUUGUCCGGAAUCAUUGGGCGUAAAGCGCGUGUAGGCGGUUCGAUAAGUCUGCUGUGAAAGUCCAGGGCUCAACCCUGGAAAGCCGGUGGAUACUGUCGGACUAGAGUGCGGAAGAGGCGAGUGGAAUUCCCGGUGUAGCGGUGAAAUGCGCAGAUAUCGGGAGGAACACCUGUGGCGAAGGCGGCCGACUGGGCCGACCCUGACGCUGAGGCGCGAAGGCGUGGGGAGCGAACGGG
rnacentral:rRNA from 1 species